rnacentral:rRNA from 1 species
GACGUGGGAGGCAAGCGUUAUCCGGAUUUACUGGGCGUAAAGCGCGUGUAGGCGGUGGUGCAAGUUGGGCGUGAAAUCUCCCGGCUCAACUGGGAGGGGACGUCUAAUACUGCAUCACUUGAGGGCAGUAGGGGGGAGUGGAACUCCCGGUGUAGCGGUAAUAUGCGCAGAUACCGGGAAGAACACCCGUGGCGAAGGCGGCUCCCUGGCCUGCUCCUGACGCUGAGACGCGAAAGCUAGGGGAGCGAUC